rnacentral:rRNA from 1 species
GAUGAACGCUGGCGGCGUGCCUAAUACAUGCAAGUCGAGCGAACAGACGAGGAGCUUGCUCCUUCGACGUUAGCGGCGGACGGGUGAGUAACACGUAGGUAACCUACCUAUAAGACUGGGAUAACUUCGGGAAACCGGAGCUAAUACCGGAUAAUAUUCCGAACCGCAUGGUUCGAUAGUGAAAGAUGGCUUUGCUAUCACUUAUAGAUGGACCUGCGCCGUAUUAGCUAGUUGGUAAGGUAACGGCUUACCAAGGCAACGAUACGUAGCCGACCUGAGAGGGUGAUCGGCCACACUAGAACUGAGACACGGUCCAGACUCCUGCGGGAGGCAGCAGUAGGGAAUCUUCCGCAGUGGGCGAAAGCCUGACGGAGCAACGCCGCGUGAGUGAUGAAGGUCUUCGGAUCGUAAAACUCUGUUAUUAGGGAAAAACAAACGUGUAAGUAACUGUGCACGUCUUGACGGUACCUAAUCAGAAAGCCACGGCUAACUACGUG